UGGACACCCAACCAUUUUGUCAAUUGUGUAUUAAAUAUGUCCUAGUAUUUUCUAAAAAUGGCACUGUCUAAUUUUGUUACAAAUAUAUGGUAGUUCCUUCAUUAAAAAACCCAUUUUGAGCACUCAAAAAAUGGAAAAUGAUUUUUGUGUGCAAUGCAAAUGAAGACCACAAAAUCAUCAUUGUUUGAAAUCAUAAGAUACACAUAUGUGCACAAUAUUGGGUCAUUUAAACAUACAACAUGAGGCUAAUAUGUUGAGUGUUUACCCAAAAUAAGAGGGUAAAAAGUAUAAAAGAAUCAAAAGAGAAAAAACACAAUCACAUAUGCUAGAUUCUGAUUGGUGGAACCAUCUGUCACACGAAUCGAUGACAUGGCAGACAUCCAUCCAUCCAUUGCUAGCAAUCCAUCCAUCCAUCCAUCUGAAGUAACCCACCGCACCAAACCCUACCCAGAUCACUCACCUCUCCUCCCUUCCUUCCUCCCGCCGCCUCCCUCUCUCUCUCCCGGAUCCAAAUCGACGCUGCCACCCCUCUCUAACCCUAGCUUCCCAUCGGCGGCGGCGGCGCCCUCCUUCCCUCGCCCUCUCCUCCUUCCCUCCUCACGGGCGUCUCCACCACGCCAAGAAUCCCGGCGACCCACCCCGUCUCCACGCCCGCCUCGGCAACCACCUCCGCCGCGCGUCCGAGUCCCAUCCGUGUCCGUGCCGGCUCCGUCUCCGUCUCCUUUCAUGGGAGGUGACCCGCAUCCGGCCCCGCGGCGGGGGAGGGGUGGCGGCGGACGCUAAGGCCACGAUGGCGGUCACCCUCCGCACACCACCGCGCCCUCCCCUCACCCUGGCCCCAGGUCGGGCAGUGUGAGGCAGUGCUCCCAUACUUGCGACGGCCACAGCCUAGCCCACUCCGAUCUGGAUCCGGGAUGCGACCUUGAUCUAGAGCCGUGAUCCGGGAUGUGCUCCUUCCUCCCUCUCUUCGUCAGGCCUGACCCGGCCGUCGUCAUCGCCUCCAAAACGGCUCGCGUGCUGGAGGCACGCGGGGCCCACGUCAUCAUGGCCGUCAGCAACCUCGCCGCUGCAGAGGCCGUGCGCCAUGCCGUCCUUGCCGAGACCCCUACCGCCAACCUCGACCUGAUGGAGCUGGACCUCCCUGCACUCCGUCCUCCCUGGCCUCUGUCCGCAACUUCACCGUGCUGACAGGGGCCUCUCGCUUAACAUCCUCAUGUGCGUAUGCCCUACCCUUUUCGUUCAUUCAUUUAGGUUCAGUUAGCUAGGGGCUAUCAGCCAUUAAAUUCAGAGAAAUCCCUGUCAAGCAUGAGGUUCCCCUACAUACCUACUACCAUAUGUUUGUACUGAAUAUAUUGACAUGCCAUGACACUAUGAUGCAAUAGAAUAGCUAGCAGAAUGCCGAUAUCAUGAGUUUAAUUGGUUAAGCUAAGCUAAGCUAACUCCAAUUAUGCUAGUUUAUGUCUUGUUUAAUUUGUUAAUUGUUGAUGCUUGCAGUUAAUUAGCUGGAGUAGUUGGUUAAUUACACACUGGUUGGUGCAUGCUAGCUCAAGUGAUAAAUGCAUGGAUGUAUGUUCAUUCAAGUCAGUCAGUCAAGGAAUUUGUUUCAGAUUCAGCUGUGAUGAAUUUGUCAUCCACCUUAAUUCCUUGACACCUGUGUAUCCUUGGGACCUGUAGUUGUUUGCCUUGAGAAUUAUUUGGUCUAGCACUUGGAGAUCUUCUCUGAUUAGGGCAGAGGGGACAAGGUAGCUAGAUUGCUAGGAGAAUCUACAGUUAAUAAUGAAGUAAACAUUAGUCUGUAAAGGUAGCAAGACGGAAAGCGUCCGUGCAUGGUGCCUUUGUUUGCAGCUAGCUGACGAAGGACAAAGGAGUACUAUGGGUGUCAGCAAUUAAUUCAAGUUCCUUUUCAUGUCAUGGAUCCUAGCUUGCUUGGCCCUGAUUAAGAUAAGCUAACUCCAAUUAUGUAGCUAAUUUAUGUCUUGUUUAAUUUGGACGAAUUGUUGGGUAUAUAUAUUGAUUAAUUGGUUAAGUGUUCAUGCUUGUUUGUUAACGCAGUAGAAUUUGGUGUGCUUGAAUAAAAUGGCGCUCAUUUGCAUCAUUGAAUUUCUGCAGAGUUCUAAGAAGAAUUCUGGUACAAACGCACUGACCGUAUACUUGUACAUGUGUAGCCGAGGAACCUCCUGUGGGCUACUUCCAAGCAUGAUGUGUACGUGAUGCAGAACUAUUCUGUGAGGCAUUGGUCGUCCUUACUCCAGAGAGGAAAAGAAGUGCUCAACGUGGCAGGCCCAAAUCAGGAUAUGCAGGGAGGUCGGCCCUUGUCCAGGGUGAAGAUCAGCACCAUGACGGUGAAAGACAACCUCCUGGCGGCUGGUGGUUUCCAUGGGGAGCUGAUCUGCAAUGUAAGGAGGCCGGAGUAGGCACGCAGUGCACACACAAAGCAUUUUUUCUGCUUGAGAACAUGUAGAAAUGUAGAGCUGUAGCUUGACACUUAGGUAUUUAUUAUUUUGUUAGUACCUUGGCAGUGAAUUCUAGCAGCGAAGCCUCUUCAUUUCGAGCAGCGAUAACCUGAUUGGUAAACUAGUGCUUUGUGUGUGCUAGUAACUCACAAUGUCGUCUUUGUAUAUGCACAAAUGAAAUUAUUCACCCCGCCAUUGUCAUUGUUUCCUAA